UACGUAGGGUGCAAGCGUUACUCGGAAUUACUGGGCGUAAAGCGUGCGCAGGCGGUUAUGCAAGACAGGUGUGAAAUCCCCGGGCUCAACCUGGGAACUGCAUUUGUGACUGCAUGGCUAGAGUACGGUAGAGGGGGAUGGAAUUCCGCGUGUAGCAGUGAAAUGCGUAGAUAUGCGGAGGAACACCGAUGGCGAAGGCAAUCCCCUGGACCUGUACUGACGCUCAUGCACGAAAGCGUGGGGAGCAAACAGG
rnacentral:rRNA from 1 species